AUGCUGCUUCCCCAUCCCUCCCCCUCUCCUUGCAGUGGUAUGUGGAUGAAAAACAGCCAGCGCCUUUUUUUUUUUUUUUUUCCUCCAAAAACUUUGAAAACAAAAGACAAAAUCGCAGCCCGGCCCGAGCCUUUCCCUCACUUGAAUCAACACCAAGACAACAUUGAGACAUGGAAGGAUUCUGCUUCCCAAACACAGCUGUGUUUGCGAGUCCUGCGAUGCCAGGGGAUGGGAAGGGCUGGAAAAAGCGGCCUGACCCCUCCUGUCCAGGGGAGAAGCUCCCGCGGGCUCCUUCCAAGGAAUCGGAGCGGUGACAGCAGUCACGGAGAGGGGCUGCUCGGCCUGCUGUCCCCUCACGGCCAAACGACGACCGCCCAGAGGACGAAGGGCGAGAGCAAAGACCUCGUCCUUUCAGAUCAGGAGCGCCAGCACGGCCUGAACAAAAGCUUCUUGACCUACAAACUCCCGGCUGCCAACAUCGUUAACAUCGCGGCUCAACCUCCUUUUUCUCCUCCUCCUCAGCGACCAAACUCGCUGCUGGCAGCGGGAAGCAGACUGGCCUGUGCCUGGCGUGUGCUUUUCGGGAUGAAAGGGGAGCCCAUUAGGAUGAGCUGUCUCGACAAGCAGGGCUGA
rnacentral:lncRNA from 1 species